GGGCCUGUAGCUCAGUUGGUUAGAGCAAACCGCUCAUAACGGUUUGGUCGUAGGUUCGAGUCCUACCGGGCCCACCA
rnacentral:tRNA from 8 species